rnacentral:rRNA from 1 species
UACGUAGGGGGCAAGCGUUGUUCGGAAUUACUGGGCGUAAAGGGCGCGUAGGCGGCCACCGCAAGUCGACUGUGAAAUCUCCGGGCUUAACCCGGAAAGGUCAGCCGAUACUGCGGGGCUAGAGUGCAGAAGGGGCAACUGGAAUUCUCGGUGUAGCGGUGAAAUGCGUAGAUAUCGAGAGGAACACCUGCGGCGAAGGCGGGUUGCUGGGCUGACACUGACGCUGAGGCGCGAAAGCUAGGGGGAGCGAACGGG